AUCUAUGGCUAUACCACCCUGAAUAUGUCUGAUACAGACGGAUGUCUGAUUUUUAAAGCUAAUCUGGGUAGGAUCUGCUUAGUAUUUGCAUGGGAGACUGCUUGGGAAUAUUAGGUGUUGUAGGCU
ensembl:rRNA 5S_rRNA 5S ribosomal RNA